GAUGAACGCUGGCGGCGUGCCUAAUACAUGCAAGUCGAGCGAACAGACGAGGCGCUUGCUCCUCUGACGUUACCGGCGGACGGGUGAUUAACACGUGGCUAACCUACCUAUAAGACUGGGAUAACUUCGGGAAACCGGAGCUAAUACCGGAUAAUAUAUUGAACCGCAUGGUUCAAUAGUGAAAGACGUGUUUGCUGUCACUUAUAGAUGGAUCCGCGCCGCAUUAGCUAGUUGGUAAGGUAACGGCUUACCAAGGCAACGAUGCGUAGCCGACCUGAGAGGCUGAUCGGCCACACUGGAACGGGGACACGGUCCAGACUCCUACGGGAGGCCGCAGUAGGGAAUCUUCCGCAGUGGGCGAAAGCCUGACGGAGCAACGCCGCGUGAGUGGUGAAGGUCUUCGGAUCGUAAAACUCUGUUAUGAGUGAAGAACAAAUGUGUAAGUAACUAUGCACGUCUUGACGGUACCUAAUCAGAAAGCCACGGCUAACUACGUG
rnacentral:rRNA from 1 species